rnacentral:lncRNA from 1 species
ACCCAUCCCGGCCGCGGAGCCCAGACCCACCCCGAGCGCAGGCCCGCCUGGCGGGAGUCGCCCUCCUCUCGAGGAAUGCCGAGGCCCGCAGGAGGAUUCCUUGACCUGACCUCGGGCCUCUGAGCAGCGGGCUCUGGCUGCGCCCGAGAACAGGAGGCUCCCCCAGGGGGUGUCUGGGCCGGCGGGCGAGCCCCCUUCCCGGAGGAGCCGCGGGGCCCAUGCCCUCUGUGUCGGGGCUAAAGCUGUCAGCUCCUGCAAAGAUGAACGGCCCAUGUGGUCGCCUGAGCCCCCCAACCUCUGCUUGGUGGAACAUGAUGUUAAAGAGUUCUGCUGGCCCUAAAGUCAGAAGCCUGGAUUGAAACGAACCUGCCCGCCUCCCUCUUUGUUGCUGAUGCAUCUGGUCAUUGGUGCCUACUACUUUGGUCCCACACACACUCAGUGUGGCCAGCCCCCACCUGGAGAGUUCACCGUGGUGCUCAAGAGCCAGACAGGCAAGGUCAUUGUCCACCCACGGGACCAGAGGAAGACCUCAGGCCCCACCCACUCCCCACAGACAAGCUGGGGCUGUAUGAAGUCUAAAGGAAGAUAAAUUAUUCCAAAUGAUCUGGAAAGAAAGUGAUAGACGACAAAUACAUUUCCAAGCCCUGGAUAUUGUAUAAAAAGCAAACAAAACAAAACAAAACAAAACUUCUCUUUUCUCUCGCUGGGAUUUCUGAUGAUGCAGUAAACAAGUCCCAACAGGUGACCUAAUCAAAAAUAGCUAUCAUAUAGCACUUAGAAAUGUAUAUAGCUCAACCAUCAACCUUGCAGAGUAAGGAAAGAAGAAACUGAAGUAUUUAUACUUCACUGGCAAACAAUGGAAUAGAUUGUCUCUAAAUAUGUCUUCCAGCUAAAAAAUUCUGCAGCGUAGUUUCUAUAAAUGACUUUAAUCUGAUUUUAAUAUUCAUUCAGCAAGAUAUUUGAAAAUUAUUUAAGUGCCUGUUAUAUACUAAACACAGAUAUACAUUAAUGAAUAAAAUAGACACAGGUCUCUCCUACGGGCUACAGCCAACCAACUGACAAACAGUUACAGGUAUACUUACAAACUGCGUACAUCUGGGGGGACAAUUAGAUUCAGAGAUAGAGAAUAACAUAAUGUAUCUAUAUAGACAGACAGAUUAGAAAUGGCCUCUCUAAGCAGAAAACAUAUAAAUUAACAUUUGAACAAUUAAAAAAAAGUCUACACUAGCCAUGUACAGGGCUCAGAUGUAUUGAUGUUCCAGGAAAAUUUAAAAACACAUACACAUGCACACAGCCUAGGGAAAGACCCUGAGAAGGAAAGGCAUGGUCUAUUUAAAGAGUAGAACAUUAUGGAUACAGACAUUUGCAGACUGGAGAACAAGCUAGAAUCAAAGCCUGUCAGGGUUUGAUUGGGUAAUCUAAUUUGGCCGUCUGACCAGUUCUUAAAUCCCCAUCAUAGAAUGCCUUCUAAAUAGCCAACCAGUACUAGGAGAGGGAGAUGGAAAAAUAAUAAAUAAAAAUAAACAAAUAGCCAACCAGUUUGUGCUCAAGUCUCUCCAAUGAGAGGGAAUGUACUACCUCUUGAAGUAUCCAUGUCAAUUUGGUUUUAAAAUAUGAAUGUGUUCCACCUUAAGGAAGCUGGAACUGGAAUCAUGAGUUGUAAGUCCCAGUCCUGCACCUGAGAAAAUUUUUUAGUUGAAAUGGAAGACGCUAGUUAGAUAGCCAUAUCUCCGACUCAUUAUUAUAUGGGGUGCCAAGAACAGGCAGCCAGAUUUCAAGUUCAUCAUCUUUUUUGAAGGAGAAAAAAAAUUGAGAAUGAUAAGACAGCUCUCACAAGCUUUCUACACUUUUCUGUUGUAGCAAAAUUCAGGUCAGCAUCCUGGCAAGCCAAUGAUUGCACAAUAAGGUCAGUUGCACUCUUGUAAGACAGCCGUGUUAUUUGGGCUGCAGUGGGGAGGUGGGAGUGACUUUCCUGUGGUCCUUGUGGCACGUCACAUGGAAGAAGUGCAUUGUACCCUCCAAGUUUACAAAGCCUUUGAUAGCAUGAGUUGGCUUCCACAUGGCCAGUUACUGACCUCCCUAAAGAAGCUCUAUAGGAACCCAGGAAGAUCCUGCCAGUUAUUUGCUGGUAUUGCCCACAGCCAGCACAUACCACCAAUAGUUUGAGGCUGGUUUGAGUAUUUAUUUUUUCCAGAGUACCUAAAGAAACUUAAGUUUCCUGGUCUUAGGAGAGGCACUUCCAACUUUACAGUUCACAGACCAUCUUCUCUUAAAGUCAUCUAUGAAUUUUCAUAUGGUGACUGUUGACCCAGCCUCAUUGAAGCAGCCUUCAAAGGAUUUUGGCUUGUCUUUCAGACAGGCUAAGUGUGUGAAGGCCAGGCGCAGUGGCUCACGCCUAUAAUCCCAGCACUUUGGGAGGCCGAGGCAGGCGGAUCAUGAGGUUAGGAGAUGGAGACCAUCUUGGCCAAUACGGUGAAACCCCAUCUUUACUAAAAUACAAAAACUUGCCGGAUGUGGUGGCACAUGCCUGUAAUCCCAGCUACUUGGGGAAUCACUUGAACCUGGGAGGCGGAGGUUGCAGUGAGCUGAGAUCGCACCACUGCACUCCAGUCUGGCGACAGAGCAAGAUUCCAUCUCAAAAAAAAAAAAAAAAAA